rnacentral:rRNA from 1 species
GUCUAAGGCCAUACCCACCAUGUACACACCUGAUCUCAGACGUUAAGCAGGGUUGGGCCUGUCUAGUGCUUGGAUGGGAGACUGCCUAGGAAUAUCAGGUGCUAUGGACU